ACGUGCCCGCGAGGCCGGUGGUCGUCCCGCGGCCGCCGGUUCUUGCAUCCGGCCCAUCCUUGUCUAUCUUACCUGUUGCUUCGGCGGGCCUGCGGGCGGUGUCUGACGCCGUCCGCUGCCGGGAGGGUUCUUCCCUCCGGGCUCGCGUCCGCCGAAGGUCACCUGAAACCCUGUUGUAAAUCUGGCGGUCUCAGUGAACGGAUAAUCGUUA
rnacentral:misc_RNA from 1 species